rnacentral:rRNA from 1 species
UACGAAGGGUACAAGCGUUAAUCGGAAUUACUGGGCGUAAAGGGUGCGUAGGCGGCUCGUUAAGUCUGUCGUGAAAUCCCCGGGCUCAACCUGGGAAUGGCGAUGGAUACUGGCGAGCUAGAGUGUGUCAGAGGAUGGUGGAAUUCCCGGUGUAGCGGUGAAAUGCGUAGAGAUCGGGAGGAACAUCAGUGGCGAAGGCGGCCAUCUGGGACAACACUGACGCUGAAGCACGAAAGCGUGGGGAGCAAACAGG